UACGUAGGGUGCGAGCGUUGUCCGGAAUUAUUGGGCGUAAAGGGCUCGUAGGCGGUUUGUCGCGUCGGGAGUGAAAACACCGGGCUUAACUCGGUGCUUGCUUUCGAUACGGGCAGACUAGAGGCAUGCAGGGGAGAACGGAAUUCCUGGUGUAGCGGUGAAAUGCGCAGAUAUCAGGAAGAACACCGAUGGCGAAAGCAGCUCUCUGGGACGGUACUGACGCUGAGGCGCGAAAGCGUGGGGAGCGAACAGG
rnacentral:rRNA from 1 species